rnacentral:rRNA from 1 species
AACGAACGCUGGCGGCAUGCCUAAUACAUGCAAGUCGAACGAGACCUUCGGGUCUAGUGGCGCACGGGUGCGUAACGCGUGGGAACCUGCCCUUAGGUUCGGAAUAACUCCCCGAAAGGGGUGCUAAUACCGGAUAAUGUCUUCGGACCAAAGAUUUAUCGCCUUUGGAUGGGCCCGCGUUGGAUUAGCUAGUUGGUAGGGUAAAAGCCUACCAAGGCGACGAUCCAUAGCUGGUCUGAGAGGAUGAUCAGCCACACUGGGACUGAGACACGGCCCAGACUCCUACGGGAGGCAGCAGUGGGGAAUAUUGGACAAUGGGCGAAAGCCUGAUCCAGCAAUGCCGCAUGAGUGAUGAAGGCCUUAGGGUUGUAAAGCUCUUUUACCCGGGAUGAUAAUGACAGUACCGGGAGAAUAAGCUCCGGCUAACUCCGUG